AUGAACAUGACUGUGUCCGUGAAAAGUUUAUUGCAACAACUGAGGGAUGACGGAUGGGAGACACUUUUGGAUGUUGCCACUUCCUGUUGUAAUAAAAGGGAGAUACCAGUGCCUAGUAUGGAUGAAAAUAUUCCAGCAAGGGGUUACCCAAGGAGUUCCCGCAAAAUGGUUAGUUGCUUCCAUCACUACAAGAUUGAAAUAUUCAAUGAGGUGCUUGAUAGAAACAUGGUUGAGAUGAAUAACUGGUUCAGUGAAACUUCAACAAGGUUACUGAUAUGCAUUGCUAGUCCAUAUCCUAGAGACUCAUGA
rnacentral:rRNA from 1 species